GGAUGCGAUCAUACCAGCACUAAAGCACCGGAUGCCAUCAGAACUCCGAAGUUAAGCGUGCUUGGGCGAGAGUAGUACUAGGAUGGGUGACCGAAGUUAAGCGUGCUUGGGCGAGAGUAGUACUAGGAUGGGUGACCUCCUAGGAAGUCCUCGUGUUGCAUUCC
rnacentral:rRNA from 16 species